ACAGACUAUUUAAACGAUGUCCUUACUAGCUUUCUGGGCCUUGAGUUGUUUCAGUUGUGUUGCUGUCUAUUCAGGGUCAGAAAGCUCUCAGAUUUCAUCAAAAUAUAUAUUUUAAUUUGUGUUGAACAAAGGUAUUACAGGUUUGGAACGAUGUGAGGGAGAGUAAUUAAUGACAGAAUUUUCAUUUUUGAGUUAACUAUCCUGUUAACAUAUUGAAGCAGUGCAGCACCAGCAUGGCAAUGUAUCUCUAAGACUGUUUUUUGAGUCUUAUUAUAUUUGUGAGAAGUUUUACUAACAUUUUAUUUUACGGUGUCCUUGUACUUACAUGUACUUAUGCAUAAUUAUGCAUAAUUGCAGGCAACUAAGCCUAAAUCAAACCCUCAUAAUAACCCUAUAGUAAGUACAAGUAGUUAAUUGAUAUUAAUUACUACUUGUAUGUAUAAUUACACUGUAAAAAUUACACUUUAAAAUAGAGUGUAACUAAAGUUUUUUUUUAGUCCAAAUUUUAGAGCCUGUUUGAAAUAAAUCACUCUUGGGAUAUAAAAAAAUAGUUGAUUACUUCAGUGAGAUGGUUCUUUUAAUCAGCUGAAAGACCCAAGUUACUAGUUUGAAAAAGUCCACAAAACCUUCAUGGAACAAAGCUGGUUUUGCUGACUUUCUUUCUAGAAAGUUUUGCGCUAUUUAUAUUGUGUAAGUUUUCAGUGCAAACUGAACAAAACAGCUGUGAAAAAAAGUGUACCGUGAAAUAGCGUCAAAAACUUUAUAUUAUGUUUUGUUUAGGGGCAGCACAUGAAAACUGUAAUUAAAAUUGAUGAAAAAAUUGUAAAUUGAUUCACAAAUGAAUGAUCCUUAACAGCUAGUUCUUUCUAGUGCAUAAAAAUCAUACAGUGCAACCAAUGUUACACAAUUAAAAAACAACUGCCUCUUUUAAUAAAUCAUUCCGAACUCACUGAAAAAACUCAUGAGUUUCAUAUUAAAUUGAGUGUUGCACUGACUUUCAGCGUUGGCGAAUACUGAGGGAAUUGUGAAUCUGAGUCGGCAGUUCAUACUGAAUGAGAAUGAUCAAAAGAUUGUGUACCAUGAGUUUACAUUGAAACAUAUUUUUGUUAUUGAGCUGUCCUUGCUGGCUGCACACAAAAACAUACAGCACAAGCAGUAUAGUGCAAUUCACGGAUGAAUGACUAUUAGGUGCCGCUCGCUUUUAGCAAAUCAAACAGGUGCAGAGCAACCAGCUUAAUCCAAUUCAUAAACAAAUGGCUAUUGAGAGCCGGUUCCUUUAUUAAAUUGUUCAGCAGGCUCACAGUUCACGAGUUUCAAAUCAGUCUGGCAAAUACUUCAUUGAAUGAACACUCUUAAUGACCUAUAACACUUUCUUACUGGUUUACUGCUACUGAAAUACAGAGACACAUUUUUAUAGAAGCUUAUUUCUACCACUAAAUAAAAAAAAGGUAGUUGUGAGUUUUCUCAAUUAGAACUGUGAAAUAAAAGGUUGUUAAAAAAAUUGUUUAUUCUGCAGUGGAAACAACUAUGACAUUUUUUUCUCAGUUUCUCAGUUUAUAUCUCACAUUUCAGACUUCUCAGAAUUGCAAGUUUAUAUACAGCAUUUUCUUAGUUUAUAUCUGAAAAUGUAGUUUUCUUCCCAGAAUCGCAAGUUUAUAUCAGGAAAUUCUGAUUUUAUAUCGUACAAUUCUGACGUUUAUAUCUUACAUUUAGAAAAAUGGUUGUAUGACUUAAAAAAAAAAAACAAAACAACAACAACAACAAAAACACAUAUAUCAGAUGAUCAUUGAUAUAUCGGUCAGUGGAUGCGUGCAUUUGUUUAGUAAUGGCCAUCUUUAUCUGUAAAUAAAGAAUGUUGCUUAUCUAUUAGCUUCAAACUGGGUAAAAGGUUUCAGAUAAAGUCAAUGUUUGAAUUAACGGUGAGUGGACUGUACAAAUAGCAACAGAAAUUCAGCUGUCAGUCAGUUGUUUUGGCAAAACAUUAAGCUGAGAUUAAUUACGAGAGGAGGUCAUGGACCAUAUGUUAGUGUUUGCAGCAUAUAUGUCGCGUUAUCAAUCUUUAUGAGAAUAUAAGGCCAAAACGCAUAUAUUUCCUACCACAUGUGAUGCGAAGACAAGCCCGCACUGUUGGCCUGACCCUGGUUACUAUGGUUACGAUGUGUACUUUGUUGUAGCCACUGUCUGCCUGGUAACCCAGUUCUUGCUAAUUGCUGUUGUCUUGGCAACAAGGUGCCCAAUGUAAUCUGAAAAAAAUGGGUAACAAUCUGCCACAAAUGUAUGUAUUCAUUAGAAGAAUUCAGCCUCUCCCUUCUGGCGUUCCUUUGGCAGACUAGACCACAUUUUAAUCUUUGUGUUUUUUGGUUAGAAUAAAGUGAGUCGACACACCUGACCUUACAAGAUCACACUUAUUUCGACGCAACCUCGACUCUGGGCUGUCAGCCACCUGUUAGAUAGCAGUGUAAUACGAAACGGAAAGGGCCUGCUCUGGUGUAGCAUCAUGUGUUAUCACGUAAUUCAAUAGAGAGGACCUACACUGAUUUUCACCCCAGUGAGAUGUGCACAUCAUCAUUCAGAGGAGACAAUGAGUCUAACGAGCGUGUUUAGUUCAAUAAUUCAAUAAUGAAAUUAAACGUGUAGCUCACUGUACCUUAUACGACUCUGCUAUUGCUGUAUAAAAUUUCUAAAUGAUGUACUUAAAGUAAAUCUGAAUAUCAAUGCAUAUUUCUUUAUUCUUUACAAUAUAUGCUGCUGAUUUUAAAAUUGUUCCAUCACUCUCAGAAAAAAAAGGUACAAAUCUAUCACCAGGGAGGAACCCUUUUGAAAUAUGUACCAUUUAGGUACCUUUAAAGUACUAAUAUGCACCCUUUAGGGGUAAAUAAGGUCCAAAAGUGUACCUUUUGAAAAGGUACCAUCCCCAUAGCUUUUGUACCUUUUUUUCUGAGAGUGAACAUUAUUUAAAAAGGUCUAAUACUAUUUAAUAUAAUCUUUUUUGUAGAAGGAAUGUGAAUUAGGGCUCCAGAAUGACAAAAAGCAGCAUGCAAGCAUUAUAAAAGUGGUUCAUAUGUCUUCUGAAGCCAUGUAAUGACCAAAUAUCCUAAUGUUCUUACUCUUAGGAUUCUUUUGUGGUGCCUUUCUUGGUCCCACUUUAUAUUAGUGGCCUUAACUACUAUGUAGUUACAUCAAAAAAUAAGUACAAUGUGUUUAUUGUAUUCGUAUUGUAUUGUGAAACACUUCUGCUGCUAUUGAGGUGGGAUACGGGUAAGGUUAGGGACAGGUUUGGUGGUAUGGGUUGGUUUAAAGGGAUAGUUCACCCAAAAAUGAAUAUUACCCCAUGAUUUACUCACCCUCAAGACAUCCUAGGUGUUUAGGACUUUCUUCUAUGAACAGAUUUUUACAUGUACCUCUAGUUUUCUCCUCCUCUUCUCUAAAGCAGCACAACAUGGCCUCGCCCCCUUUGUUGCGUUUUCCCAGGGCCAGGGUUUAUCUGGGUUCAUGACGUAACGGACCUGGGAAGAAGCUGCUUGUAGUCCCUUACCAGCCAUUUUUGUAGGCAUUAAACUGCCAGAAUUUUAAAAGACGAUAUCUCCGUUUGCAUUGAAUUUUGCAGAUAUUGUUUAUGCACAAACAGCAACAUUACACACUAACUUACAUUUAAAAAAGUUAAAAUCGCAAUCAACCACCCCUUUAAAUGAUUUCUGAGUUGUGAAUGCAAGUUCUCAGUGUGAACUGAACAAAGAGAUUUAAAAAAUGUGCUGUGAAAUAAUGGCAAAUAUAUCUUUAUAUUGAAUUGAAACAUGCAGAAAAUUUGUGAAAUUUACUCAUGAAUGAUUUAUUCCUUAAAAAAAAAAAAGCAAGGAUAUUUUUCAAAAAUCUACAUUUUUUGUUUGACAAAACAAACUCAUUCAGGUUUGAAACAACAUGAAGGUGAGUAAAUGCCCAUUUGUUUAUACUUUUGUGCUGCUUUUUUAAUUAUUUGAGUGAACUACUGCUUUAAAACAGGAAAGGAAUGUAACUACAUUGUGUUUAAGGGUGCACUGCAGGAUUCUCUCUAUCAUCCCUCUUUUUCUCUCUUUGUCCCAUCACAACGCACCAAAUAAAUUAUUAUGUGAUGCAGUAAAGCAAAAACAAGGAUCUGAACACUGAAUUUACUGAUUUUAAAUGUAUUAGUUCAACAAUUUAUUUCUGACCAAAAGAAACCCUCUGUUGUGUACCUUUAACAAUGUACUGUACUUUUCCAUUCACUUACAAUAUUUAAAAAUUAACCCAAAUUUAUUUUAAUUUCAUUUAUUUGGACUGUUCAGUAUAGAUAGCAUGUAAUAAACAUUUACCACUGCAUGUUUAGUUAACUCGGAAGCAUUUCUAAAAAACAGCAGCUUAGGAAAAAAAGCUAAAUCCAUCUCCAGAGAUCAUUUAGUGGAUGCUGAGUUUAAAAACAGCCAAUGUGCGUAAAGAGGUUGUCACUGUUCUCUCUUUUGAGUGUGAAUUCAUGUAUGUGUCACAUACAAGUAAUUUAUACAGAGUCAUAUUGAGAUGCAUACAUCAAAACUAGCAUUUUUUACCCAUAUUAUGCUCCAAACCAGUCAUUUGCAUUCAGCAUCAACUCACAAUGAAUGUAUAGCAGAUAAUUUAAAACAUUAAUACGUCAAUUAUGUAUGCUUUCCUUAAACUUUGCUUGUUAUGCCUAAAACUGGGUGGCUCUUGUAUAAAAGAAUGUUCAGUAGGUUAUUCAUACUUGAUUUGUGAAAAAAAUGCUUUGUUCUUAGAGAUGUUUUAUGUAUGCAAUUACUAUCCAUCUUUCUGAUUAACAAACAUACGCUUUAGCUUAAUAGGACCUUCGCCCGCCUCUUAACAAAACAUGCGUUGGUCCCUGUAUAUAUGUUUAGAUGUUUCUAAAUAGGUUCUCCUGCUCUCAAUUUCCAUUUGCAGGCUUCUUCAAAACCCAAAACCUUUUCACUGAGAUGUUUUGUGCCUGAUUAGCUUCUUCUGAAGUGCCUCACAUCCUUGCUUCGCCCUUAAUGCUGUCGGCAGCCAUCGAAGACCUUGCUGCACGGUGGAAAUGAUCAUUCCCCCAUUACCAAGGCUCCACUAUUUUUAACUGCUGAAUGAAACCUCCUAACCUUUCCCUUUUCACACCAGAGCACAUGUCUGAAAGGUAACUGCCCCAAUAAUGCACCGCGACAUGUGUCAGGUACACUAACCAAGACCUGCGCUCCAAGAAAUAAAGGUAAUUUGAUAAUUCUCUGUUAGAGUAUGCAGAGUGAAGAGCACUUAUAAAAGUGUUACCUUCAUUGUUCCUGCUUUGAAAAUUCACAUAAGGUCAUGGUUGGAGCUAAUGAGCCCCAAUGAAUUGGAUGAUAUUAUUUUUUUUGAAAUGCUGGAAACAUGUUUAAGUGGGAAAAUAGCACAGACGGCUUCGGCUGUGUGCUUCAAUUUUUAUAGAUGGACAACUAACUAAACAAAUAAAAAACACUGGAGUCAAGCUAAGGCAACAUGCCUGUAAAAAUAGUUUUGGAUAUGCAAAUCACUGGUUCAAUUCUUGUUUGUAUUCCAGAUACAUAAAGCUUGAGUUGAACUGGCAUAUAUACACAUGAGGGAAGCCUUCUCAGGAGGACGAGAUCUGGGAGUUUAUCCUCAAACGCAGAAUAACUGCAUUCUGUGUCAGGUGGCAGUAGUUAGCUUUCUAACUGCUUGAGAUGUAUUUGAAUAUUUCACCAUGACCACAGUAGAAUAGAGAGUGACUCAGACUUGCAAUGAUUUUACAAGGCUGAGAAGGAAAAGAGAAACACAUAUUUCUUAUCUACCAUUCUGGUCUGAAACAUGUCAUGAAUCCAAGGGGAUGGAGAUGUUGUCCAACCUAUGGAAGGAAAACAGAGGGAGAAAAUGAAAGAGAAAGAUCGGGCAUCGUGCUGCUCGCAAACUGACAAUUCCAGCGACUCUAGUUGACUGCUACUCUGCUAUUCCUGUUAGAGGGCUGAACCCACUCUGCCUUGUUGGCACAAAUAUUUUUAGCCUUGGCGUUUUGCAGAGAGACCAGCACUGAGAGUGAUGGGGCCACACAGGCAUCCAACUGCAAAAGGGCAGCGGUGGGAUGAACAGGGCGGAGGCGGGCAAGGUCACAUGAGGCCACUGGAGACGAGAGACUGGAAGAUGAUGUGAUGAGAUCUGGUGAUUGAGUCUUGUAGAAUCUGUCUUUGACAAACUGCAUCUUAUGCCUCUAAAAAGGCUAGCGUGGUAUUUUUUAGCUAAAAAUAAAAAAAAACUUAAUCGCGACUUACCUAAAAUUAC